AAUGUUGUCAGACUACAUUGUAGUCUCAGCUCUUUGAGUUUGUUCUGGUUCUGAAUGCUGCCAGAUUCUGGGGUCAUGAAUAAAAGCCAAUUAAGUCUUGAAAUUAAAUUUGUUCUACUGUUGCCUCUUCCUAGUUUUGGCUUGCAACGUGGGUCCUGAAGGACACUGCUGGUGACUCUGGAGACCUCUUGAAGACUGCAUGAAAAGUACCAUUGACCCCUUUGGAGGUUCGCUGACUUCCUCAGAGCUCCCACGGCUGCAGGAACAUGUACUUUGGGUUGCUUCUAUGCUUUCUUUAGCUCUUGUGGAUCAUGUUGCAAUACACAAGAGAGGACAAAUACCUCUUCAAGACCCUGCUUUCAGCUAUUUGGGUGCAUCCCAAGAAGUGGAAUUGAUGGAUCAUAUGCUCUCUGCUAUGGCCCAGGAAGGCAGUGGAGGAUGGCCCAAGUGCUUGGGCCCUGCACACGCAUGAGAGACCAGGAGGAAGCACCUGGCUCCCGGCUUCAGAUCGGAGCAGCUCUGGCCGUAGUGGCCAUUUGAGGGGUGAAGCAACAGAAGAAAGACCUUUCUCUCUGUCUCUCUGUGGGGAGCAACCCGGACUAGACUAAGUUACUGGAAUUAAGACUUAUUCUAUGCAUCUGCUCUCCCACAAUAUGGCGCUGGGAGAGGAGUAAACAGCUUCUACGCAGCUGUCUCUCGCCAACUUGAGUGAUGACCUCCAGGAGCUGAUCCUGCUCCUGAUUGGAGGAGAGCAGCGUACUCGGCGUGUGGGUAGCAGAGUUGGGAUUGGCGGAAGAGGACUAUAAAGGAGGAGAGAGACAACAUGCACCAGGAACAUCUAAGGGGAACAUCUAUCUGAAGGAACACCUGUGCAGCCCCCGAGAGAGCCGGCGGCGGUGUGCCGCUCCCCCGUGGAAAUGGGGAAGGUGGCAGGGGGAACCGCCCUUCCACGGAGGUGGAAGGGAUGGUAGCCAACCCGGGAAGAACCAGCAGCAAACCCGGGGAGGGCCGAGCAGACGAAAGAACAGCGCAGGGUCCUGUGUCGUUCCUCCACGAAGACGGGGAGCGACACUCUCUUUCUCACUGUCUAACUCUAUCUGUCAAAUAAAAAAAUUAUUAAAGUAGUAUAGAUAUUCUGUCAGUUCAACGAACAUUUAAAUGAAAGUUUGACAAAACACUGUAUUGUGGCAAAACUUAUACAAUCAUUUGAAAAAAAUAAUUUCCCACAUACAAAGGAGGAUAUGUAGUUGUUUUUCUGUGUCUGGCUUAUUUUACUCAGCAAAAUGUUUUCUGUUCCAACCAUUUCUCUGCAAAUGAUAGACUUUCAUCCUUUUUUAUAGCUGAAUAAUAUUCCAUUAUGUGAAUAUAUAUAUCAC